UGCUAGAUUGCAUAAACGGACUCAGGGAGCUGCAGGAAGAGGCUGGUUUGAAACUGGGCCCUGGUGAGAUCUCCUCUCAGCUGCUAGGCCUUUGGGAGGUGGUGUCUCCACACGUUGAGCUGAGCGACACCUCACUGCAUUUUUCUCCGUUCUGUAACCGAGCCCCGGACCAUGCGAGAACAUUGAGCAAGUCAGCACUAGAACCAAAUAUGCCUUAGAGCUCUGGUUAAAAUCAAUGGAGCCUCUUGCUGAGAUGGGUUAACUGCUCAUCUCUCGGAUCUGUCUUUAUGAACACAACACCCCCUGCUAGACUGAGCUACUUAAGCUUAAUGAACAUUUAGAUCAUAACCAGCUCCGAUUGUCAUGGAAUAACAGGUUUUAUUAAAAUAUGUUUUUAUAAUAAUCAAAAUGUUUCCUUAAUCCAUAAUCUGCUUUUGAUGUCAAACACACAGGUUUUCUUCAUGCAUGUCAAUUUGCAAUCAGCAAUGUCUUUA